GACAGAGGGUGCAAACGUUGUUCGGAAUUACUGGGCGUAAAGCGUGUGUAGGCGGUCACGUAAGUCGGAUGUGAAAGCCCUGGGCUCAACCCAGGAAGUGCACUCGAUACUGCGUGGCUUGAGUACUGGAGAGGUUGGUGGAAUUCUCGGUGUAGAGGUGAAAUUCGUAGAUAUCGGGAGGAACACCAGUGGCGAAGGCGGCGAUCUGGGAAGAUACUGACGCUGAGGUGCGAAAGCGUGGGGAGCAAACAGG
rnacentral:rRNA from 1 species